ensembl:lncRNA
CGGGAAGAAAAUUCCAUAUAAUACCUAAGAAGAUCCAGAACAUUUUUAGAAAAUCUGGAGUUUAUGUGUGUUCUCGAGGAGAGCCAGUACCUGAUGUAUGGAAAGCAAAAAAAUCCAUAAUGGAUGAAAAAUAUAAAACAGAUAAUUUCUAUGCUGUGUCUUCUGAGCAUAGAAAUUCUAUUCCUAAGGCUACUGUUGAUUGUGAAGCUUCCACCUCUACUGCUGACAGCCUGGAUGCUGCCGAGCCUGACCCGACAAAUUCUACAAAUGCUACUGACUGUCUGGCUGCUCUUGAGCGUGAGCUGACUAAUUCCAACAACACUGCUGACUGUCUGGCUGACCUUGAGCCUGAUCCGACUUUUUCUACCAAUGCCGCUGACUUUCAGGCUGCUGUUGCACCAGAGCCAACUAUGUCCACCCACCCUGCUGACUGUCUGCCUGAUGUGGAACCAGAGCCAACUAUGUCCACCCACCCUGCUGACACUCUGGCUGCUCUUGAGCCUGAGCUGACUAAUUUCAACAACACUGCUGACUGUCUGGCUGACCUUGAGCCUGAGCCAAACAUGUCCACCCACCCUGCUGACAGUCUGCCUGAUGUGGAACCAGAGCCAACUAUGUCCAAUCACCCUGCUGACACUCUGGCUGCUCUUGAGCCUGAACUGACUAAUUCAAACAACACUGCUGACUGUCUGGCUGACCUUGAGCCUGAGCCAAACAUGUCCACCCACCCUGCUGAUAGUCUUCCUGAUGUGGAACCAGAGCCAACUAUGUCCACCCACCCUGCUGACACUCUGGCUGCUCUUGAGCCUGAGCUGACCAAUUUCAACAACACUGCUGACUGUCUGGCUGACCUUGAGCCUGAUCCGACUAUUUCUACCAAUGCUGCUGACUUUCAGGCUGCUGUUGCACCAGAGCCAACUAUGUCCACCCACCCUGCUGACUGUCUGCCUGAUGUGGAACCAGAGCCAACUAUGUCCACCCACCCUGCUGACACUCUGGCUGCUCUUGAGCCUGAACUGACUAAUUCCAACAACACUGCUGACUGUCUGGCUGACCUUGAGCCUUAUCCGACUAUUUCUACCAAUGCCGCUGACUGUCGGGCUGCUGUUGCACCAGAGCCCUCUAUGUCCACCAACCCUGCUGACAGUAUGGCAGCUGUUGAGCCUGAGCCGACUAUGUCCACCCACCCUGCUGACAUUCUGACUGCUGACGAGCCUGAACAUAAUACUUCUACCAAAGCUGCUGACUGUCUGGCUGACCUUGAGCCUGAGCUAAACAUGUCCACCCACCCUGCUGACAGUCUGCCUGAUGUGGAACCAGAGCCAAAUAUGUCCAAUCACCGUGCUGACACACUGGCUGCUCUUGAGCCUGAGUCGACUAAAUCCUCCAAUGCUGCUGACUGUCUGGCCUAUGUUGAGCCAGAGCCAGCUAUGUCCACCCACCGUGCCGACAGUCUGGCUGCUCUUGAGCAUGAGCUGUCUCAUGCCAACAAAGAUGCUGACUGUCUGGCUUCUCUCAAGGCUGAGCUGAUUAAUUCCAC